AGAUUGAACUCCAAUAACGAUCGUUUAUCGAUUAACGAUAACCGCUAUUGAGGUAGUAUCAGGGGUAAAUAAUCCGGAAUACAUUAAAUCGAAAGAGGAAGUCAGUAUUACAUUAAAUAUAUCAAGUAAAUUACGGUUUGAUGAAUGUGUUUGUGUUUAUCUAACUCAAGAAUAUGCAAGGAAACCGUGCAGAAAGGUUCAAACAGAUAUUCGUCAACUUGACAAGCGAAUGCUGCAAGCUCUCCGUAGACACAGAUCUGAAAGAUAGCGUGCUAAGGAUCGUGAAUGGAGGACAAGAACAUGUGAAUACGUGGAAUGAUUCAAUUCGACAUUCAUGUUGGGGAAUCUAUCAGCAAAAGGUCGUUAUAACGAGAUCCCAAACCGUACACGAUGUUGACACUUCUGCGGUUUCAAAUGCUAUGUCGAAAAUGAUCGAUUCCGUUAGAAAAGCCAAUAAUAUAGAAUCGUCAUACAUGAGUCAAAUACGUGAAUGCUUAGAGAAAUGCAAAGGUUUGACACGCAUAAAGCAGGAGACGAUUGAAGGGUACGAACGAAACAUAGCAGAUUUGGAAAAUAAAAUCAGGAUAGCAGAGACAGCCAUCAAGACGUUGCAGAGAGAAGCUACAGAAUUCAACGAACUUGCAGAUCGACUAGAUGAUCGAGCGCGUGAGCUUGAUAAUAAGUGGUGGUUUACAAAGAUAGCUACUGUUGUGAUAGGGGCACUAUUGGUCACGUUGACAGCUGGUUUGAUUUUGACUGUGGCGGCAGUUGCAUUUUUGGGAAACUUUAAUUUAAAUACUGCGUCUGGAUGUCGCGAUGGUGCGCGAGAGGCUAGGCAGAAGGCGAAGGAGAAAGGAUAUGAAAUUGCAAGACUGCGGAGCAAUGUUCAAGCAUAUCAGGGUGAAGUGACAGAGCUGCAAGAAAAGAUUCCCAUAGUCAAAGCGGAUAUUGACACUAUAAACAGAAUAGAAAGAGAAUUGAUAAAUUUGAUUCAAGAGAUAGAAUCGUUGGACAUUCAGAGAAGUUCAGACCAUGUCCUUGGAAUGUUGCAGUUUUGUGCAGUACGACUUACCCAUGUCGAAGCUGACUCUCAACUUCAAGACUUUAAGAUUCCAAACAGUCCGCGAGCAUUUCGGGCCAUGGUGCCGGUGACAGAACCGUGCUGAAAUCGGACAUGGAAAGUUUAUGCUUGGGGGAUUAAUGGCGGAACAGUUUGAUACAUAAAGGUGGAAUGGACCACAAUGGAAAGACAACUCACCGAAUGCAGUAUGCCGUUCUCGGAUUUUAUUUUCUGAGUUGAAUGUGAAAAGGUUUCAGCUCAAUGAAAGACUUGGUGUCGAUUUGAACCUAUGUAAUCAAUCAAGCAUACCUAGAACGAGCAUAUUUUUUAAAACCAACAUUUUGUUUUCAGCUUUGUGAAUUUCUUUUUGAAAGUAUCAGGAUAGUGUUUUAAACCAAUUAUCUCGGAUUAUAUAAAUAAAUGUACUAUUAUCAUGCCAUUUAAUUUCUCUCUAUAUAUACAGUAUUUUUGGCAAUAAGAAAAGUUGUUUCAAUAAUGCUUUGCAAUUGAAACUUUAAGAUGAAACGGAUACGAAAUAUGACUAUGUAAAGCUUGUUAACAGACGGCGACGAUAUGAUACUUAAAUGUAUUAUUGUUUUAAAUCGCACAUGCUUCGAUACUUAUAAUAAACGUAGUGUGUUUGUAUUUAUAGCAUGAGAACAUAAUUGUACAGAGUAACAAUAAACAAGAUUUUGUUUUUAAAUAAAACGUUUUUAAUAAUAAUCGUUGCCGUUUUUUAUACUACCAAAAGUACAUAUAUUUUGCAACAUUGCUGUCGUAAAUUCUAUUUCGAUAUUCGUCAAAAUAUUUACAAAGCGAAUUUGACAAAUUUCCCAGACUACAUUUACUGUAAGACCUCGCCACAUCUGGUAUAUGUAUCCGUAGUAAUAUUCAAUACACGUGCAUGUCUGUUUUUUAAAUUCUGAAUUACAUGUUGUUCCUAGUUGGAAUCUGAUAUGUUAUAGUAUUAUUUUGUACUAUUUUAUAUUUUGAUGUUCUAUAUUAUAUAACAACAAAUUUCGUCUGGUAACUUCUUAUUUUAGUAAGUUGGUACAAUAUAUCCUUGAGUUAUGUUUGUUUUACUGUAUUUUUUAUUUAAACUGAUAUGCUUUA